CAGUAGCCGCGGUAACACGAAGGGUGCAAGCGUUAAUCGGAAUUACUGGGCGUAAAGCGUGCGUAGGCGGUUUGUUAAGUCUGUUGUGAAAUCCCCGGGCUCAACCUGGGAAUGGCAAUGGAUACUGGCAAGCUAGAGUGUGUCAGAGGAUGGUGGAAUUCCCGGUGUAGCGGUGAAAUGCGUAGAGAUCGGGAGGAACAUCAGUGGCGAAGGCGGCCAUCUGGGACAACACUGACGCUGGGGCACGAAAGCGUGGGGAGCAAACAGGAUUAGAUACCCCAGUAGUCCCUGUCUCUUAUAC
rnacentral:rRNA from 1 species